rnacentral:lncRNA from 1 species
CCGUAACUCAUGAUCCGGGCCUCCGAUUCCGUUUCCGUCGGGUCCCGCGGGACCAGGGUUCCGGGGGCAUCGGGAUGGGUGGGUAGCCGCGCGGCGGUUUGAACGCCGAAAAAUGGGCAUGUUCGGGGUGCGCUCAGUAGGUUUAGACGGUUUUGGGCGUAUCUCAUGAUCCGGGCAUCCGAUUCCGUUUCCGUCAGGUCCCACGGGACCAGGGGUCCGGGGGCAUCGGGAUGGGGGGGUAGCCGCGCGGCGGUUUGAACGCCGAAAAACGGGCAUGAUCGGGGCGGUUUUGCCGGUUUGGCCGGUUUCGGCCCGCCGGGGGGCGGUUCAUGCCCCGGGGGGGACCGCGGGGCGGGAUCGGGAGGCGGCGGACGCGUUCGGUGGGGUUCGGGCGGGUGCGGCCGGAUGGGGGGUGGCCCGGGGGGCUAUAGCGCACGUCCUCGGGGGCCGCAAAGAAGGGGCCGUAACUCAUGAUCCGGGCCUCCGAUUCCGUUUCCGUCGGGUCCCGCGGGACCAGGGUUCCGGGGGCAUCGGGAUGGGGGGGUAGCCGCGCGGCGGUUUGAACGCCGAAAAAUGGGCAUGUUCGGGGUGCGCUCAGUAGGUUUAGACGGUUUUGGGCGUAUCUCAUGAUCCGGGCAUCCGAUUCCGUUUCCGUCAGGUCCCACGGGACCAGGGGUCCGGGGGCAUCGGGAUGGGGGGGUAGCCGCGCGGCGGUUUGAACGCCGAAAAACGGGCAUGAUCGGGGCGGUUUUGCCGGUUUGGCCGGUUUCGGCCCGCCGGGGGGCGGUUCAUGCCCCGGGGGGGACCGCGGGGCGGGAUCGGGAGGCGGCGGACGCGUUCGGUGGGGUUCGGGCGGGUGCGGCCGGAUGGGGGGUGGCCCGGGGGGCUAUAGCGCACGUCCUCGGGGGCCGCAAAGAAGGGGCCGUAACUCAUGAUCCGGGCCUCCGAUUCCGUUUCCGUCGGGUCCCGCGGGACCAGGGUUCCGGGGGCAUCGGGAUGGGGGGGUAGCCGCGCGGCGGUUUGAACGCCGAAAAAUGGGCAUGUUCGGGGUGCGCUCAGUAGGUUUAGACGGUUUUGGGCGUAUCUCAUGAUCCGGGCAUCCGAUUCCGUUUCCGUCAGGUCCCACGGGACCAGGGGUCCGGGGGCAUCGGGAUGGGGGGGUAGCCGCGCGGCGGUUUGAACGCCGAAAAACGGGCAUGAUCGGGGCGGUUUUGCCGGUUUGGCCGGUUUCGGCCCGCCGGGGGGCGGUUCAUGCCCCGGGGGGGACCGCGGGGCGGUAUCGGGAGGCGGCGGACGCGUUCGGUGGGGUUCGGGCGGGUGCGGCCGGAUGGGGGGUGGCCCGGGGGGCUAUAGCGCACGUCCUCGGGGGCCGCAAAGAAGGGGCCGUAACUCAUGAUCCGGGCCUCCGAUUCCGUUUCCGUCGGGUCCCGCGGGACCAGGGUUCCGGGGGCAUCGGGAUGGGGGGGUAGCCGCGCGGCGGUGUGAACGCCGAAAAAUGGGCAUGUUCGGGGUGCGCUCAGUAGGUUUAGACGGUUUUGGGCGUAUCUCAUGAUCCGGGCAUCCGAUUCCGUUUCCGUCAGGUCCCACGGGACCAGGGGUCCGGGGGCAUCGGGAUGGCGUUUCAGCGGGACCGGCGGUAUGAAGCUGGAAAAUGGGCAUGAUCGGGGCGGUUUAGCCGGUUUGGCCGGUUUCGGCCCGCCGGGGGCCGNNNNNNNNNNNNNNNNNNNNNNNNNNNNNNNNNNNNNNNNNNNNNNNNNNNNNNNNNNNNNNNNNNNNNNNNNNNNNNNNNNNNNNNNNNNNNNNNNNNNCGCGUUCGGUGGGGUUCGGGCGGGUGCGGCCGGAUGGGGGGUGGCCCGGGGGGCAAUAGCGCACGUCCUCGGGGGCCGCAAAGAAGGGGCCGUAACUCAUGAUCCGGGCCUCCGAUUCCGUUUCCGUCGGGUCCCGCGGGACCAGGGUUCCGGGGGCAUCGGGAUGGGUGGGUAGCCGCGCGGCGGUUUGAACGCCGAAAAAUGGGCAUGUUGGGGGUGCGCUCAGUAGGUUUAGACGGUUUUGGGCGUAUCUCAUGAUCCGGGCAUCCGAUUCCGUUUCCGUCAGGUCCCACGGGACCAGGGGUCCGGGGGCAUCGGGAUGGGGGGGUAGCCGCGCGGCGGUUUGAACGCCGAAAAACGGGCAUGAUCGGGGCGGUUUUGCCGGUUUGGCCGGUUUCGGCCCGCCGGGGGGCGGUUCAUGCCCCGGGGGGGACCGCGGGGCGGGAUCGGGAGGCGGCGGACGCGUUCGGUGGGGUUCGGGCGGGUGCGGCCGGAUGGGGGGUGGCCCGGGGGGCUAUAGCGCACGUCCUCGGGGGCCGCAAAGAAGGGGCCGUAACUCAUGAUCCGGGCCUCCGAUUCCGUUUCCGUCGGGUCCCGCGGGACCAGGGUUCCGGGGGCAUCGGGAUGGGGGGGUAGCCGCGCGGCGGUUUGAACGCCGAAAAAUGGGCAUGUUCGGGGUGCGCUCAGUAGGUUUAGACGGUUUUGGGCGUAUCUCAUGAUCCGGGCAUCCGAUUCCGUUUCCGUCAGGUCCCACGGGACCAGGGGUCCGGGGGCAUCGGGAUGGGGGGGUAGCCGCGCGGCGGUUUGAACGCCGAAAAACGGGCAUGAUCGGGGCGGUUUUGCCGGUUUGGCCGGUUUCGGCCCGCCGGCGGGCGGUUCAUGCCCCGGGGGGGACCGCGGGGCGGGAUCGGGAGGCGGCGGACGCGUUCGGUGGGGUUCGGGCGGGUGCGGCCGGAUGGGGGGUGGCCCGGGGGGCUAUAGCGCACGUCCUCGGGGGCCGCAAAGAAGGGGCCGUAACUCAUGAUCCGGGCCUCCGAUUCCGUUUCCGUCGGGUCCCGCGGGACCAGGGUUCCGGGGGCAUCGGGAUGGGGGGGUAGCCGCGCGGCGGUUUGAACGCCGAAAAAUGGGCAUGUUCGGGGUGCGCUCAGUAGGUUUAGACGGUUUUGGGCGUAUCUCAUGAUCCGGGCAUCCGAUUCCGUUUCCGUCAGGUCCCACGGGACCAGGGGUCCGGGGGCAUCGGGAUGGGGGGGUAGCCGCGCGGCGGUUUGAACGCCGAAAAACGGGCAUGAUCGGGGCGGUUUUGCCGGUUUGGCCGGUUUCGGCCUGCCUGGGGGCGGUUCAUGCCCCGAUGGGGACCGCGGGGCGGGAUCGGGAGGCGGCGGACGCGUUCGGUGGGGUUCGGGCGGGUGCGGCCGGAUGGGGGGUGGCCCGGGGGGCUAUAGCGCACGUCCUCGGGGGCCGCAAAGAAGGGGCCGUAACUCAUGAUCCGGGCCUCCGAUUCCGUUUCCGUCGGGUCCCGCGGGACCAGGGUUCCGGGGGCAUCGGGAUGGGGGGGUAGCCGCGCGGCGGUUUGAACGCCGAAAAAUGGGCAUGUUCGGGGUGCGCUCAGUAGGUUUAGACGGUUUUGGGCGUAUCUCAUGAUCCGGGCAUCCGAUUCCGUUUCCGUCAGGUCCCACGGGACCAGGGGUCCGGGGGCAUCGGGAUGGGGGGGUAGCCGCGCGGCGGUUUGAACGCCGAAAAACGGGCAUGAUCGGGGCGGUUUUGCCGGUUUGGCCGGUUUCGGCCCGCCGGGGGGCGGUUCAUGCCCCGGGGGGGACCGCGGGGCGGGAUCGGGAGGCGGCGGACGCGUUCGGUGGGGUUCGGGCGGGUGCGGCCGGAUGGGGGGUGGCCCGGGGGGCUAUAGCGCACGUCCUCGGGGGCCGCAAAGAAGGGGCCGUAACUCAUGAUCCGGGCCUCCGAUUCCGUUUCCGUCGGGUCCCGCGGGACCAGGGUUCCGGGGGCAUCGGGAUGGGGGGGUAGCCGCGCGGCGGUUUGAACGCCGAAAAAUGGGCAUGUUCGGGGUGCGCUCAGUAGGUUUAGACGGUUUUGGGCGUAUCUCAUGAUCCGGGCAUCCAAUUCCGUUUCCGUCAGGUCCCACGGGACCUGGGGUCCGGGGGCAUCGGGAUGGGGGGGUAGCCGCGCGGCGGUUUGAACGCCGAAAAACGGGCAUGAUCGGGGCGGUUUUGCCGGUUUGGCCGGUUUCGGCCCGCCGGCGGGCGGUUCAUGCCCCGGGGGGGACCGCGGGGCGGGAUCGGGAGGCGGCGGACGCGUUCGGUGGGGUUCGGGCGGGUGCGGCCGGAUGGGGGGUGGCCCGGGGGGCUAUAGCGCACGUCCUCGGGGGCCGCAAAGAAGGGGCCGUAACUCAUGAUCCGGGCCUCCGAUUCCGUUUCCGUCGGGUCCCGCGGGACCAGGGUUCCGGGGGCAUCGGGAUGGGGGGGUAGCCGCGCGGCGGUUUGAACGCCGAAAAAUGGGCAUGUUCGGGGUGCGCUCAGUAGGUUUAGACGGUUUUGGGCGUAUCUCAUGAUCCGGGCAUCCGAUUCCGUUUCCGUCAGGUCCCACGGGACCAGGGGUCCGGGGGCAUCGGGAUGGGGGGGUAGCCGCGCGGCGGUUUGAACGCCGAAAAACGGGCAUGAUCGGGGCGGUUUUGCCGGUUUGGCCGGUUUCGGCCCGCCGGGGGGCGGUUCAUGCCCCGGGGGGGACCGCGGGGCGGGAUCGGGAGGCGGCGGACGCGUUCGGUGGGGUUCGGGCGGGUGCGGCCGGAUGGGGUGUGGCCCGGGGGGCUAUAGCGCACGUCCUCGGGGGCCGCAAAGAAGGGGCCGUAACUCAUGAUCCGGGCCUCCGAUUCCGUUUCCGUCGGGUCCCGCGGGACCAGGGUUCCGGGGGCAUCGGGAUGGGGGGGUAGCCGCGCGGCGGUUUGAACGCCGAAAAAUGGGCAUGUUCGGGGUGCGCUCAGUAGGUUUAGACGGUUUUGGGCGUAUCUCAUGAUCCGGGCAUCCGAUUCCGUUUCCGUCAGGUCCCACGGGACCAGGGGUCCGGGGGCAUCGGGAUGGGGGGGUAGCCGCGCGGCGGUUUGAACGCCGAAAAACGGGCAUGAUCUGAGCGCACCACAAUUGAACGCCGAAAAACGGGUUUGAUACGGAUCCAGAUACCCAAGUACGUUAUUUCAAUAGAAUUCUCUUCAAUUUAUUCUCGCCAUUGCAAGUCCAAUUUUAGAAUUUAUUAUCGCCAUUUCAAUUCCAAUUUUAGGAUAAUUUAAAUCACUUCCACCACAAUUCCAACCACCCAUUUACAAAAUUAAUUCUAUAUAUAAUUAAAAUCCACCUCCUCGUGGGAUCGACACUCGUCACCAUUAGUCUAUACUAUAAUAGAUUCGUACGCUUGCGAGUACAUUAAAAUUUGCACAACAAGUUUUUGGCACCGUUGCCGGGGAAGUAAGUAAUUUUAAUUCAUAGAAUUAAUUUUUGUGAAUAAUUUCUUUUAUUUGUUUUCUUGUAUUUUUUUUAUUAUUAAAAAAAAAGAAAAAAAAAAAAAGUGAAUCUACAUUUAAAGGUUAUUAUUUCUUUUCUUUUUCUCUUCUUUAAAAUUCUGUAAUUUAAUUUUCAAUUUAUUUUUCUUUGUAAUUUUUUUUUGUUUAUCUUAUUAAUUUAUUUUUAGUUAAUUUAUUUCACGUAUUUGUUUUUGUGUAUUUUUAUAGAAAGGUUUUAAUAGCGCAAUAAGGUUAGUAUCGUAAUUUCUCUCUCUUCUUUAUUUUUAUUUAUUUUGUUCUCAUCUUUAUUUUUUAUUUUAUUUUAUUUUUUGCAUGCAUGGUCGAAAGUCAUUAUUACCCAAUCUUGAACCUAUAGACCUUGAACUUGAGAAAACACUUCGCACACACAAACACGUUAAAAAUAAAAUGGAUUUACAAGCACCACAAGAGAGGUCAUUUAAGGAUUAUUUCAGUCCUUUAGCAAAUUUGAGCACAUCAUGCAUAAGAUACCCAAAUGUAUCUGCUAGGAGUUUUGAACUAAAACCUAGUGUGCUAAAUUGUCUCUCCACAUUUUAUGGCCUAGAAAAUGAGGACCCAUAUAAUCAUCUGAAUGAUUUUCAUGCUAUUUGUCAAACUUUUAAAUACGAGAAUUUUUCAGAUGAUGAUGUUAAACUCAGAUUAUUCCCAUUUUCUUUAAAGGAUAGAGCUCGUUCAUGGCUUAAUACAUUGCCUGCUAAUAGCAUUGCAUCAUGGGAACAAAUGGUUACAAAAUUUUUGAAUAAAUAUUUCCCAGUGCAUAAAACCAAUGCUAUUCGCAGGGAAAUCUCGGAGUUUACCCAGAGAGAGGACGAUCAAUUUUUCGAAACAUGGGAGCGAUUUAAUGGGCUACUCUUGAAGUGUCCACAUCAUGGGUACGAGAAAUGGCACCAAUGCCAAUACUUUUUGGAGGAAUUACUACCAAAUGUGCAAGAAUGGCUAAUGGCAACGAGUGGAGGAGAGCUAAUGUCAAAAAGUGCAUCAGAGAUUUGGGAAUUCUUCCAGCGACAACCGGAUAAUUCCCAACAACGGAGUCGAUCACUCAGGACUACUAGAAGAAUUAAAGGAGUGAAUGAGGUUCAAAUUGGCGAAUCAACUUCGGGAAUCAAAGAAGUCAAGGAGAUGGUUGAAGGUCUUGCUCGACAAAUAACAUCGUUAUCGACUGCUAAAUCAACAGAGCCACAUGACCAUGACUCAUACUCAGAUCAAGCCAAUGCCAUAGGUGUAAUGAGAAAGCCAUCAAAUUACAAUCCAUACUCCAACACAUAUAACCCUGGAUGGAGAGACCACCCCAAUUUUUCAUGGUCUCAAGGAUUCCAACAGAAUGGACCAACAGCUCCAGCUCCACCAAUGCAACAAAUUUCUCAAAUUCCUCAAGCCUCUCAACCACCAUUCAGACCAUACAAUCAGAACCAGAACCACUCUCAACCCAGACCAUGGGAGGAUGCAUUCCAGAAUUUCAGGAAUGUUACUCACUCCACGAUUGAGCAACAGAACCGCACCAUUGAUGGACUACGAAAUGAAUUGAGAGCGGGCUUCAACUCACAAGCCCAAUCAGUUUCAAGCCUCGAGAAGAUGGUGGGACAACUUGCUUCUUCAGUUCAGACCUUGGCAACGACUGUUGAGAAAGGCAAGUUUCCAAGUCAACCAGUGCCUAACCCUAAAGGAGUGCAUGAAGCAAGUACCAAUUCACCACAGCAGCAUGGAGAAGUCAAAGCAGUAAUGACCUUGCGAAAAGGAAAAGAAGUCGACAACAAAGUGGAGAUGCCGGUGACAAAAGAAAAUCAAAUUGUACCUGUGAAUGUUGAGGAAUCAUCACCCGAGGAGAAAGAAGAAACUAACCCACGAGAAUACGUUCCGAAAGCUCCAUUUCCUCAGAGGUUAGCGAAAGGAAAAAAGGGAAAAUCCACAGGUGAGAUUCUUGAAAUCUUCAAACAGGUAAGUGUUAACAUCCCUUUGCUUGAUGUUAUAAAACAAGUUCCAUCUUAUGCCAAGUUUCUUAAAGACUUUUGUACUAAAAAGAGAAAUAUGCAUGUUCAAAAGAAUGCAUUUUUAACCGAAAACGUUAGUUCUAUACUCCAACAUAAAAUUCCUUUAAAAUGCAAAGACUCAGGCUCCCCCACUAUCUCAUGUAGUAUAGGGAACCACACAAUUGAGAAUGCUUUGUUGGAUUUAGGAGCUAGUGUAAAUCUUUUGCCUUACUCUGUAUUCGUGAAACUUGGACUUGGAGAAUUGCACCCAACUCCAGUGGUGUUACAACUUGCAGAUCGGUCCACGAAAAUACCUCGUGGUAUUGUGGAGGACGUGCUCAUCCAGGUAGACAAGUUUUAUUUUCCUGUUGAUUUCAUUGUAAUUGACACUCAACCAAUACAGGAUUCAAGGAAGCACAUCCCCAUUAUUCUAGGCCGACCUUUCUUGGCAACUGCGGAUGCUCACAUUCAAUGCAGGACUGGAAAUAUGCAGUUGUCCUUCGGCAACAUGACUAUGGAGCUGAACAUCUUCAACAUUGCCAAACAACCUCACAGUGCAGAUGAUGGAAUUGUUGAUGUGGAUUUAAUUGAAGCAUUAGUUGAUGAUACUUUUCUUUCAAACCUUAGUGAUGAUCCUUUACAAACAUGUUUAACUCACUUGGGUUUGAAUUUUGAUAUUGACAGAUCGGUCGAUGAGGUCAACGCCCUACUUGACUCAGCAUCAUCCAUGGACACUAAUAAAUGGAAGUCAAGAGUUGAACAACUAGCACCAUUAGAGAAGAAACUCAUCCCAUCAUCAGAAUUACCACCGAAACUCGAGCUCAAACCAUUGCCCAACACUUUGGAAUAUGCGUUUUUGGGAGAAGAAAGCACUCUGCCGGUAAUCAUCUCAUCAUCCCUCAAUGGCGAACAAAAAGGUAAGUUGUUAGAUGUUUUGAAAGAGCACAAAGGGGCAUUAGGAUGGACCAUAGCAGACAUAAAAGGUAUAAACCCAGUAGACUGCAUGCAUUACAUUCACCUUGAUGAAAAUGCUAAAACUACUAGGGAGAUGCAACGUCGGUUAAAUCCUAACAUGAAAGAAGUUGUUAGAACAGAAGUCCUUAAACUAUUAGACGCAGGUAUCAUUUACCCAAUUUCUGAUAGUUCAUGGGUCAGUCCUGUACAAGUUGUCCCCAAAAAGUCAGGAGUCACAGUAGUUACGAAUGCUGAUAAUGAAUUGAUACCCACUAGAGUAACUACAGGAUGGCGUGUAUGCAUUGAUUAUAGAAAGUUGAAUUCUGUCACACGUAAAGACCAUUUUCCUUUACCAUUUAUUGAUCAAAUGCUUGAUAGAUUAGCAAGCCAUGAAUUUUAUUACUUUCUAGAUAGCUACUCAGGAUAUAAUCAGAUUCCCAUAGCACCAAAAGAUCAGGAGAAAACUACUUUCACUUGCCCUUUUGGCACAUUUGCAUAUAGGAGAAUGUCAUUUGGAUUAUGUAAUGCACCUGCUACAUUUCAACGAUGCAUGUUGAGCAUUUUUUCUGAUAUGGUUGAACGAUUCCUUGAAGUCUUUAUGGAUGACUUUUCUGUCUUUGGUAAUUCAUUUGAUCAAUGCUUACAUCAUCUAACACUAGUUCUGCAGAGAUGUAUCGAGAAGAACUUAGUCUUGAAUUAGGAGAAGUGCCAUUUUAUGGUAAAACAAGGUAUUGUUCUCGGUCACAUCAUUUUGAGCAAAGGUAUUGAGGUUGACAAAGCCAAGGUGGAUCUCAUUUCUAAUCUUCCUCCACCUAAAACAGUCAGAGAAGUAAGAUCUUUCCUUGGGCAUGCUGGUUUUUAUAGACGUUUCAUUAAAGAUUUUAGCAAAGUUUCUAGACCCUUAUGCAAUCUACUUGCUAAAGAUGUGCCUUUUGUCUUUGAUGAUUCAUGUCUUAUGGCGUUUGAAAAACUAAAGCAAUUGUUGACAUCAUCACCCAUCAUUCAGGCCCCAAACUGGAGCUUACCAUUUGAGCUAAUGUGUGAUGCAUCUGAUUAUGCAGUAGGAGUUGUAUUAGGACAAAGAGUUGAUCGAAUUCCCCACGUUAUUUACUAUGCUAGUAUGACAUUAAAUGAUGCACAGUUGAACUAUUUAACUACUGAAAAAGAAAUGCUAGCAGUAGUGUUUGCAUUGGAAAAAUUUCGAUCAUAUCUCAUUGGUUGUAAAAUAAUUAUAUUCACGGAUCAUGCUGCUCUUAAAUAUCUUCUCACAAAGAAAGAUGCAAAAGCCAGACUAAUUCGUUGGGUGUUACUUUUGCAGGAGUUUGACUUGGAAUUCAAAGAUAAGAAAGGCACAGAGAAUGUUGUGGCGGACCACCUCUCUCGUCUCCAUUUUGACACAAUUACAGAAUCAUUACCAUUGAAUGAGUCAUUUCCAGAUGAACAAUUAAUGAAUGUGGAAGUAUUACCUUGGUAUGCUGAUAUAGUUAAUUAUCUUGUAACAGGUAAACUUCCAGAGCAUUGGACCAAGCAAGACAAGGCUAAAUUCUUUGCAGAAAUAAAGAAUUUCUUUUAGGAUGACCCGUAUUUGUUCAAGUAUUGUGCGGAUCAAAUUGUUAGACGAUGUGUCCCAGAAAGUGAAAUUCAGAAUAUCCUUUCAUUCUGCCAUGAACAAGCUUGUGGAGGUUAUUUCAGCGCUAAGAAAACAGCAACUAAAGUUUUACAAUGUGGUUUCUAUUGGCCAACUAUAUUUCGAGACACUUACACUUUUUGUUCUUCAUGUGAUAGGUGUCAACGAAUGGGGAGCAUUACGCGAAGGAACAUGAUGCCACUAACUCCAAUUUUAGUGGUUGAGAUUUUUGACGUAUGGGGUAUCGAUUUCAUGGGACCCUUUCCCCCGUCUUUUGGUCAUCAAUAUAUAUUGGUUGCUGUUGAUUAUGUAUCAAAAUGGGUAGAAGCAAUUCCAUGUAGGACCAAUGAUCACAAGGUGGUGAUAGCAUUUUUGAAAAGCAACAUUGUUUCACGCUUUGGAUUCCCUCGAGCAAUAAUCAGUGAUGGUGGUGCCCACUUUUGUAACAAAGCAUUCAAAGUACUUUUGACAAAGUAUUCAAUCACACACAAAGUGGUGACUCCGUAUCAUCCGCAAAUUAGUGGCCAAGUUGAGAUCUCAAAUCGAGAAAUAAAGCACAUAUUAGAAAAGACGGUGAGGCCAGACAGAAAAGAUUGGUCAUUAAGACUUUAUGAUGCCUUAUGGGCAUAUAGAACGGCUUUCAAGACCCCGAUUGGGAUGUCACCCUACAGGCUAGUGUAUGGAAAAGCUUGCCACCUACUUGUGGAACUCGAGCAUCGUGCAUAUUGGGCCAUCAAGAAAUUCAAUUUUGACAUGCAGCAAGCCAGCUCAGAAAGAAGAUUACAGCUGGCAGAACUUGAAGAAAUUCGCAAUGAUGCAUACGAAAAUGCCAAGAUUUACAAGCAACGAAUGAAAGUCUUCCAUGAUAAGCAAAUUAUGAGGAAAUCGUUCACUCCAGGUCAGAAAGUGCUUUUAUUCAAUUCUCGCUUGCACCUAUUCCCAGGUAAGUUACGCUCUCGUUGGUCUGGUCCCUUUAUUGUUCCUACUGUUUUUCCACAUGGGGCAAUUGAAAUUAAGGACCCAAAGAACGGUGUCACGUUUAAAGUUAAUGGUCAAAGAUUAAAGCCAUAUCUAGAAUACCAACCACAUGACGAAGACACCGAAAUAAAUUUGAGUGACCCACCAGAUUUGAAUUGAUUUUUUUUUUCUUUUCGUUGAUUUGAUUUUUCUUUCUUUCUUUUUAUUAUUAUUCUUUUGCUAAUUGAAAUUGUUUUUGCAUAAGUGUGUUUAUUUUACCAUUAAGUUUUCUCUAUUCAUUUUUAAUCAUGAGUCUCAUACUUAGACCGUUCCUCCUGAACAUUCUUAAACCACUUCAACGUGUCAAAACUCAUCUCAAAAGGCAGAUUCAAUUUUGUAAAACACAACGCAUUUGGGCUCUACAACCACCAGAGUUAGUAGCCUAUGUUGAGGGUUUAGAACGCCAACUCAGAGACAUUGAGAGAAGUGUUUACGACAUCCAGUUGGAGCUUGAGGUAAAUUCAAUAAGAGGACGAUUUUAAUUUUCUUUGUGUGUUUUAAUUUGUUUUUCUAUUUGUGUGCUUUAGUUUGUUACCCCGGUGAAGUGGCGGAUAACGGUACUCCGUGACAAUCAAGUCGGUUACUUCAGUUUCCCAUAAUAACUGAUAUUCUGAGGCGAAGAUAUGGACAGAAACGAGAUUCUAGCGAAACUUCACAAGCAAUUCCCUUCACUUCCUCAGAAUGCCCUCCUUACGAUCUAUAAAGCUCGGUCCGAACGCAUGCGAUUACUCAUGAGGAAUAACAUACCUGCUGACAUCCGUUGGUUAAUCGAGGCUAAAGUACGAUCGGCAGGUGAGUUACCUUCAAAAUUUAUUGCAUACAUGCCUGGUUGUGGUAAAGGAAAUUAUGCAAGAAAACGACGAGCUCAAAGAAUUUCUGUUGCUUGUCAUAAGUGUGCCAGAAUGAGUUGCAAUAAAAACCCAUGUUCUUUAGGAAUGAUGUCUGAUAACAUGGAAGAUAAGAUUCAAUUCAUUAGGGAUGGCUUGAAUAAGGAGUCAUUGGAUGAUAUCAUUUUGUCUCUUGAAACGCAUCCCAGUGGAUAUGUGCAAGGAGCGAUUCUCCAGUUAUGGCCAUUAUUCCAGAAAGAGCAUGCACGAUAUAGUCUCGGGAAUUUGACUAUAAACGACCCUGUUUGCCAGUUUAUAAGAAAACUGGAUAGGAAGCCUAUCCUCGACCCAUAGAGGGCGUUCAAGCCGUUUCUGGACGUAAAACCAGAGGAAGAUGUGAGCCACAGUCGCAACUACCUGUAAAUAUCAUUUUACUUUAUUGUUAUUUUAUUUCACUAUUGUCUUAUUAUUUACAUUAUUGUCUUUAAUAAUUUUAUUACUGUUUGCUUUUUCCUUUUUACUGUUUUCUUUUUGACUUGCGAGCCACAUGCUUUACGCGUUAUUUGACACUGACAUAUUACCUCAUACACAACCAUGACCCACUAUCACCAAGACUCUUAAAUGUGAUUUCUUUUUUGUCAAGCACUCACAAAUUAUUUUUGAGAAGUAUCACAAUGUCAGCUACUCCCAAUAGACAAUUCAAGAACAUUUGUGUGCUUUCUGGAUUUACAUAUGGCAAACAUAAAGAGUUCGUUGAGGCAGCCAUAGAUCUUGGUCGAAGCAUAGCAGCGAGAAAAUUACACUUGGUGUAUGGAGGAGGUAAUCGAGGGUUAUCAAAAAUGGUCUCAGAAGCAGCUUUUAUCAGAGGAAGUCAAGUGUUAGGCAUCAUCCCAAGAGUCCUAAAACCAUUGGGCAGUUCGUCUGACUCAUCAACUGGAGAAGAGUUAGUCGUCUCAGGUAUGCAAGAAAGAAUAACUGAAAUGCUUAAUUAUGCUGAUGCUUUUAUUUUCCUUCCAGGAGAUCUUGCAACACUAGAGGCACUUAUGACACUAGCAUCUUGGGCCCAUCUACACAUUCACCAGAAACCCAUCGGUUUGUUAAAUGUCAAUAACUUUUAUGAUGGCUUUAUCGCAUUUCUUAACCAUGCAAUAAAAAACUAUUUCAUUCCUUCUAAUGUGAAAAAACUCUUUAUUUGUGCUCACACUGCUAUUGAGCUACUUGAUAUGGUACAAGCUUAUAAACCGGAGCCAGACCCCUGGACCUUUGUGUUGGAGCGACCAAAUAAUGAUGGUAACAGUAGCCGCAGGAAGAAGUACAAAUUAUAUUUAACUCUCUGCCUGUAAAUAUUUUCUUCUGUGUUGCACCACUCAGGUGAUGUCUUCUAAACUCUACUUCUUUCCUUUACAACAUUGUAGACAAUGUUUCGUUCUGGUUAGGGGGAGGGAAUAGUCGACAAUUGUGGAAUCUUGGUUAAGUUUUUACUAAUUUUUUGUUGUAGAAACUAACUGUUGCUAACUUUUUGUGUUGAAGAUGGCUGAAUAUGGAGUGUAGUUACUCUAGAAACGCAUUUUCAUUGUUCGAAAAAAAAAAUUCUUUUUCUUUAUUAAGUUUUGAUGUUCAUUUUUCUUCUUCUUUUUAUUUUCUCCUCUAUAAAUAUAUAUUUUCCAACUUUUGAGUCGAAGAUGGCUGAAUAUGGAGAGUAGUGCCUCUAGAAACGCAUCUUCUAAGUUAAAAAAAAAAAACCAUUUUUGUUUUCUAUCAUUUUACGUGUAACUUUUCUAAUUAGUUUUUAUGCAUCAUUUUCACAUUUCUGCAUGCAUAUUUUCCUUUCAUGUUUAGAAUAGGUUGGGGGGUAGAAUGUUGUUUAAAAAAAAAAAAAUUUGUGUGAUUUGUUUUAACAUUGGAUGACAUGAUUAAUUUCAAAUUUUAGUAUUUGUAUUAUCUUUGGUCAUAAGUGAUGUUACAUUAUGUUUGCUACUCUACAUGUUGAUGUCGGAGACAAAUAUGAGUUGCUUGAAGGAAUGAACAUGUCAUAAUAAAUGCCAAGUGAGUUGUUGAGCCUAUCACUUUCUUGGAGAGUAACCCUUUUGCCCAUUCUCUACACAGCUUAGCAGUUUAUUAUUUUAUACACGAUCUCUAAAUUGCUUUUGAGUUAACCCUAAAAAAAAAAAUUGUAAAAUAAAAAAAAGAGAAAAAAAAAUGUGUUGCUACAUUAGGAGGCCCAUCUAACUAGUAGACAUGGAUAAUUAUUUAGAGCCCUAAAAGACGAUGGAAAGGCCAUCUUUGAUCCGUUUGAGCCUUUCUAGCCAUCCCUUUUAUUAAAUAUCCAUAGUUACCCCUUUUGAGCCUUUAAAAAAAAGAAAAAAAAAACAUUUUCUUUGUUAACUUAUCAUCUUGACCCACUUCGAUUUGGAGUAUUACCCGAUAUCUUAUAAGUUCCAUCACCUAUUUAUGUUUGAGAAAAAUAUAAAUAAUUAUUUUCUUCAGUGAAGUUAUGUCAAAAAAAAAAAGAAAAAAAAACAAAAGUUGUUGUUUCAAAAGAAUAAAAAUAAAAAUAAUAGGUGAAAUCCACCUUGCAACUUCCAAAAAAAAAAAAAAAAUUCUCUGCAUUUUUCUCAAACAUACACUUUGUUUUCCUUAUUUCCCUUCUUUGUUAGCCAUGUCCCUAGCCUACGUUACAUCCUAAUAAAAGUCCUUCCUGAUUUUAGGGAACUAUAAUCUGAAGUAGAAGCUAGUUAUAUGGGCUAAAAAGAUGUAGUGAUGCAUAUAAAAAAAAUAAAUAAAUAAAUUGGGUUGACUUACAUUUUAUUUGACUUGAGAUCGUAUUAUUUCUAAGCUGAGGGCAUAUUUAUUUCAUCUUGGUGAGAGCAUGUGAUAUCACUUCUUUAUUAUUUUCUCUCUCAAUUACCAUUCAUUGGAGUGACUAUUUUUAUUGGGUUUAAUUUAUUUGUGAGAGUAUCACUACUUCCAGUGAGAUUUUGAGGUUUGACAUGUCAUUCUUGAAAGUAGCUAUAACAAAGUCUACUGGGCUAAUUCAUGUGGAUGGUUGAUGUGGGUGUGAUGUUGUUUUAGACUGGAGAUAAUGCUUAUACUUUUAUUUGAUUGCUAUCAUUAAUCUGAUUGAAUAAACACGAGUGCUUCUAAAAAAAAAAAAAAAUCAUUUUGAAUUUGAAUUUUGUUUUCGCUUUAUUUGCUAGGGACUAGCAAUAAGCUGGUUGGGGGGUGUGUUGAGUGUUAGAAAAUGCAUAUUUAUAAAGGAGAAAACCGUCAUUUUACAUUUCAAGUCUUACUAACAACCCUUACUUUUAUGUAUUUAACCUUCUUGUGAUUUAAUUACAUGUGUUUUAUUUUAAUUAAGUAUUUUAAGUAUUUUAGGGGCAUUAUAGUCAUUUCACAAUAAAGGAGAAAUCAGACGGCAAAACGGACAUCACUUUUGAACUCAGGACGGUCAAAAACCUUAGGAGGAGCAUAAAAGGAAAAAUGGCACUAUUCACAUGUACGGUACUAUUCACGUAUACGGUACUAUAUACAUUACUGUUCACGACACUGUUCACAUAGACAGAUGAUGACGUGGCAUUGACCGAUGAUGUGGCAUUGACUGAUGAGGUGUCACGAUCCUGUUGGACUAAAAUUCUUAUGUACUGUUGAUGGUGACGUGGCAGCAUAUCAGUGGACGAAAAAUCUCGCGUACGGUGCAUGCAUCACACAGGAUUAUUUUCAACCAAACCGCGUUACUGUUCAUUCAGGUCAAACCGUGUUACUGUUCAUCCGCGUGGUCAAACCGUGGACUGUUGACUGAUGACGUGGCGCAAUCCUGAGCGUUCAAACUGUUUUUAAUCCGAUGGCCAUGAUUUACUCCAUGUAUCUAUAAAAAAAAGGGCCUCUCCCCCCUAAUUUGAUAUCUCUGAAUCCAUUUUUGGGAUCCAUUUUCUGUAAUUCCUUCUCCAUCUUGUAUUUUCUUCGUAUUUUAAUAAAUUUCCAUUUUGCCCCUAGUUCAAUUAUGAGUGGCUAAUUUUCUUUCAAGCUUGGGUUGAAGGUGAAGUCUCAACAUGUGUCAUGGGCUUAAUUUGGUAAAUUUAUUUUCUCUUCCCCUCUAGUUUUUGUGGAUGUUUUAACUUCUCGUCGACAAAUAAUACUAAUCUUGUCUAGUACCGCCUUGGUUUCACCGGCCCUCUAGUACAAGGUUAUUAUUAUUUGGCACGAUAAGCCCUUAGCACCAUAUUGAUUAGAGCGUGGUUCAUGAGAUGUGGAUUCCCCCCUCAUGAUUUAAUUGGCAUUAAUACGGAUUAUUUAGCCCAUGAUGCAUGUUGAUACGGAUCCAGAUACCCAAGUACGUUAUUUCAAUAGAAUUCUCUUCAAUUUAUUUUCGCCAUUGCAAGUCCAAUUUUAGAAUUUAUUAUCGCCAUUUCAAUUUCAAUUUUAGGAUAAUUUAAAUCACUUCCACCACAAUUCCAACCACCCAUUUACAAAAUUAAUUCUAUAUACAAAUUAAAAUCCACCUCCUCGUGGGAUCGACACUCGUCACCAUUAGUCUAUACUACAAUAGAUUCGUGUGCUUGCGAGUACAUUAAAAUUUGCACAACAGCCGCGCGGCGGUUUGAACGUCGAAAAAUGGGCAUGUUCGGGGUGCGCUCAGUAGGUUUUGACGGUUUUGGCCGUAUCUCAUGAUCCGGGCAUCCGAUUCCGUUUCCGUCAGGUCCCACGGGACCAGGGGUCCGGGGGCAUUGGGAUGGGGGGUAGCCGCGCGGCGGUUUGAACGCCGAAAAAUGGGCAUGAUCGGCGCGGUUUUGCCGGUUUGGCCGGUUUCGGCCCGCCGGGGGGCGGUUCAUGCUCCGGGUGGGACCGCGGGGCGGGAUCGGGAGGCGGCGGACGCGGUUGGUGGGGUUCGGGCGGGUGCGGCCGGCUGGGGGGUGGCCGGGGGGGCUAUAGCGCACGUCCUCGGGGGCCGCAAAGAAGGGGCCGUAACUCAUGAUCCGGGCCUCCGAUUCCGUUUCCGUCGGGUCCCGCGGGACCAAGGUUCCGGGGGCAUCGGGAAGGGGGGGGUAGCCGCGCGGCGGUUUGAACGCCGAAAAAUGGGCAUGUUCGGGGUGCGCUCAGUAGGUUUCGACGAUUUUGGCCGUAUCUCAUGAUUCGGGCAUCCGAUUCCGUUUCAGUCAGGUCCCACAGGAGCAGGGGUCCGGGGGCAUCGGGAUGGACUGGUAGCCGCGUGGCAGUUUGAACGCCGAAAAAUGGGGAUGAUCGGGGCGGUUUUGCCGGCUUGGCCGGUUUCGGACCGCCGGGGGGCGGUUCAUGCCCCGGGUGGAACCGCGGGGCGGGAUCGGGAGGCUGCGGACGCGGUUGGUGGGUUCGGGCGGGUGCGGCCGGCUGGGGGGUGGCCCGGGGGGCUAUAGCGCACGUCCUCGGGGGCCGCAAAGAAGGGGCCGUAACUCAUGAUCCGGGCAUCCGAUUCCGUUCCGUCAGGUCCCACGGGACCAGUGGUCCGGGGGCAUCGGGAUGGGUGGGUAGCCGCGCGGCGGUUUGAACGCCGAAAAAUGGGCAUGAUCGGGGCGGUUUUGCCGGUUUCGGCCCGCCGGGGGGCGGUUCAUGCCCCGGGGGGGACCGCGGAGCGGGAUCGUGUGGCGGCGGACGCGUUCGGUGGUUUUCGGGCAGGUGCGGCCGGAUGGGGGGUGGCCCGGGGGGCUAUAGCGCACGUCCUCGGGGGCCGCAAAGAAGGGGCCGUAACUCAUGAUCCGAGCCUCCGUUUCCGUUUCCGUCGGGUCCCGCGGGACCAAGGUUCCGGGGGCAUCGGGAUGGGGGGGUAGCCGCGCGGCGGUUGGACACCGAAAAAUGGGCAUGAUCGGGGCGGUUUUGCCGGUUUGGCCGGUUUCGGCCCGCCGGGGGGCGGUUCAUGCCCCGGGGGGCUGUAGCGCACGUCCUCGGGGGCCGCAAAGAAGGGGCCGUAACUCAUGAUCCGGACCUCCGAUUCCGUUUCCGUCGGGUCCCGCGGGACCAGGGUUCCGGGGGCAUCGGGAUGGGG